rnacentral:rRNA from 1 species
AAUUCGUUGCACUAUCGUUAACUGAAUACAUAGGUUAACGAGGCGAACCGGGGGAACUGAAACAUCUAAGUACCCCGAGGAAAAGAAAUCAACCGAGAUUCCCCCAGUAGCGGCGAGCGAACGGGGAGCAGCCCAGAGUCUGAAUCAGCUUGUGUGUUAGUGGAACGGUCUGGAAAGUCCGACGGUACAGGGUGAUAGUCCCGUACACCAAAAUGCACAGGCUGUGAACUCGAAGAGUAGGGCGGGACACGUGGUAUCCUGUCUGAAUAUGGGGGGACCAUCCUCCAAGGCUAAAUACUCCUGACUGACCGAUAGUGAACCAGUACCGUGAGGGAAAGGCGAAAAGAACCCCGGCGAGGGGAGUGAAAAAGAACCUGAAACCGUGU